GAGAGUGGCAGACGGGUGAGUAACGCGUGGGCUUCUACCUAGUUCUACGGAACAACACAGGGAAACUUGUGCUAAUACCGUAUACGCCCUACGGGGGAAAGAUUUAUCGGAAUUAGAUGAGCCCGCGUAAGAUUAGCUAGUUGGUGGGGUAAUGGCCUACCAAGGCGACGAUCUUUAGCUGGUCUGAGAGGAUGAUCAGCCACACUGGGACUGAGACACGGCCCAGACUCCUACGGGAGGCAGCAGUGGGGAAUAUUGGACAAUGGGCGCAAGCCUGAUCCAGCCAUGCCGCGUGAGUGAUGAAGGCCUUAGGGUUGUAAAGCUCUUUCAGUAGGGAAGAUAAUGACGGUACCUACAGAAGAAGCCCCGGCUAACUUCGUGCCAGCAGCCGCGGUAAUACGAAGGGGGCUAGCGUUGUUCGGAUUUACUGGGCGUAAAGCGCACGUAGGCGGAUUGUUAAGUCAGGGGUGAAAUCCUGGAGCUCAACUCCAGAACUGCCUUUGAUACUGGCAAUCUAGAGUCCGGAAGAGGUGAGUGGAACUCCUAGUGUAGAGGUGGAAUUCUUAGAUAUUAUGAAGAACACCAGUGGCGAAUGCGGCUCACUGGUCCGGUACU
rnacentral:rRNA from 1 species